AGGGGUGUGGCUCAGUGGUACAGUGCUUGCCUGGCAUGCAUGAGGCCCCCUGGGUUCCAUCCCCAGUUCCCUGU
rnacentral:tRNA from 1 species